rnacentral:rRNA from 1 species
AAUCUCAGUUCGGAUUGUAGGCUGCAACUCGCCUACAUGAAGUUGGAAUCGCUAGUAAUCGCGAAUCAGAAUGUCGCGGUGAAUACGUUCCCGGGUCUUGUACACACCGCCCGUCACACCACGAGAGUUUACAACACCCGAAGUCAGUGGCCUAACCGCAAGGAGGGAGCUGCCUAAGGUGGGGUAGAUGAUUGGGGUGAAGUCGUAACAAGGUAAC